rnacentral:rRNA from 1 species
CCUACGGGAGGCAGCAGUGGGGAAUAUUGGACAAUGGGCGAAAGCCUGAUCCAGCAAUUCCGCGUGUGUGAAGAAGGCCUUCGGGUUGUAAAGCACUUUAGUGGGGGAAGAAACAGCUUGGCCACACCAAGCCUUGACGGUACCCCAAGAAUAAGCACCGGCUAACUCUGUGCCAGCAGCCGCGGUAAUACAGAGGGUGCAAGCGUUAAUCGGAUUUACUGGGCGUAAAGGGUGCGUAGGUGGCUAUUUAAGUCGGAUGUGAAAGCCCGGGGCUCAACCUCGGAAUUGCAUUCGAUACUGAGUGGCUAGAGUUCGGUAGAGGGCGGCGGAAUUUCCGGUGUAGCGGUGAAAUGCGUAGAUAUCGGAAGGAACAUCAAUGGCGAAGGCAGCCGCCUGGGCCUGGACUGACACUGAGGCACGAAAGCGUGGGUAGCAAACAGGAUUAGAUACCCUGGUAGUCCACGCCGUAAACGAUGAGAACUUGACGUUGGUUCGUUUUACGAAUCGGUGUCGCAGCUAACGCGAUAAGUCUCCGCCUGGGGNGGACGGCGCGAGUAGAACGACAAGAAGUAGUUAGNGUGAGAGUGCGAGGCGACGACGAGGGAGGAGG